UUUCNGUUUAGUGCUGUCCGUCCGUCUCA
rnacentral:piRNA from 1 species